UUCUGGGUUAACGGAGUCUGUAACCUGAAGCGUCUGUAACCCGAGGUACCACUGUAUUGUGAAAAUUAAUAAAAACAUUAUUAUUUUUAAAAAGGGCUCAUGUCUCAAACCUUGAAAAGCCAUGGUCAGUGAGUGUAGUAGAUAAUACUGAGCUAAAUGGACCAAUGGUCUGGCUCCUGAGUGAGUAUCCUAGAUUCCAGAACUUCAUAUACAUUCCUCAGGAAAGUGGGAUCACCAGCAGAAUGUGGCUCUACAAUUUCCCAUGAAAAUAUUGCUCCUAUUAAGCUUUAAAAGGGCAAUAAGUUAGGAGAUAGGAAGAUACCCAUUAACAUAUAUAUAUGACAGGAAACUUAAUCUCCUUGGCUGUUUCCAUUGCAUAGAAAUCAUUGCGUGCAAAGGGGAUUUCAUAGUCACAUUCCCAGACUUGUCUAUUUAUUAUAAUGUAUUUAAAAUACACCCCUCCUUUCCUCUGAAAGAGCUCAAGAUUGUAACACAAGUUAUAACAAAUAUGAUAAAACCAAAUGAUUAAAAACGUCCACCGAAAGAUAAACACAUGAAGCGCAAAGCGGCUAUUAAAGCAAUCGAUUAUCUUCUGGCAGUGAAAACAAUUCAACGUUUUGCCACAUUCGGCUCCCACCAGAGUGAAAAGUCAAAGUCUGAUGCUACUUGGUGGCUUCAAUAAACAGCAAACUCAGAUUGCAUCAACAGCUGUCCCGUUGUAAUUCUCAUCCCAGAGUUUAUGUGAGUUUGGGACUGGAUGCAUGCAGCUGCUGCUGUCACUUCGAUGCCUACAUUCAAAAUCAGCGCUCAGCUGUUUAAGGCUGCUUGCAGCCAUUGUCAGCUGUGUCAAAAGGAUUAGCACGCACCCAGCAUUCUUAAGUCCCAUUGUGGCAAAAAUACUGCAGGAAUGUCAAAAUAGGUCCUAGAGAGCAGGUGGGAAGAAUACUAACUCAGCAGGACAUAGAAGAGAUGCAAAAUGGCACAGGGCAGACAGGACUGAAGAACUGAGCCUGGGAAAUAUUGGGGAAGACAUAAAUCAGUUUUAGUCCCGAUUACUGAAAAUAGUAAGUUUAUUUAUCUGCAGCAAUCAUACCCCACCCUUUAGCCCAAAAGGCUGUCAGGGUGGCUUCUAAAAUGGUCCCUCCUCUCUGGAUCAUAAUAAAAAAUUCUAGAGGGAUAUUUUCUUGAUGCAAUUAGGAGGGGUUAUUCUUUUUUUCCAGGUGGGUAACAGAGAACAAGAAGCACAAAGGGGGUACCUUUCAUUCUGUAUUUUCUUGUGGGGGGAAAUGGAGAAGCGUGGAGCUCUUUGGACUUUCCAGCUGGAUGUUUGCUGAAUUUCCACAAAUAUUCCAGAAUCUGUUUCAGGUUUCAGAAGGCAUGGAUCAGGGACAACAGUUUCUGAAAGGUUGAGGUUUCUCUGAGGCAGAAGGUUUUGAUGUACUCAUGCAUGCCAAUGAAAACUUUUUUUAAAAAACCAAACCACAAUGAAGCCCAACAGAAUGGAGGCAAGAAAA